UAGGAACUAGGAAUUUUAAUAAGGCUCGAGCUGCCGUUGUGAAACCAGCCAUCAGGGCUCCUGCCGGAGCGCUCCCUUUCUGCGCAGCGGCUCAGCUAACUAGCUGCUGCAGUUUAGCCACGGUGGUCCAGCGAGCUUUUUCAAGCCUGCAAGCUUCUAGGAAAUGCAAUAAAAUAGAGGGAUGUGUCUUAUCAUCAAGAUCUGAAGAGGAGCUGCAGAAGGGACGCUCUCCAUGCUCCCAGCUCGCGACAGCCUUCCAGAAAGAGCCGGCAGACAAUGCCAGCAAACCACGUCCCCGGGCAAAGAUAUCUCGGCCAUCCAGGCUGGACUGGGCUCUGCCUUUGCAAAAAGGCUGCCGGCGGAGGGGAGCGGCAUGAUGUCCCCAAGCAAACAAUGCCUUUAAAAAUCCGAUCUGGACAAAAGUCAGCCAAGGUCUUUAUUCACGUUAAUGAAGAUGGAAGGCACUAACUGUCCUUGGAAAGCGAUGAGUCAAACUUGACCACUCUUCAAACACAUCCCCAGAUUCGUUUCCAACCCGAACAGAGGCGCGUUUCUCCGACGCGGCCUCCGACUGCUCCCGCAGUGGGAGAGGCUGAACUUGAUUUCCUCGGACCAGGGCGGUGGAGACCGCAGCAUCUCCCAAGAGUGUGCGCGCCGGCGGUCGUCGCUAGGGGUCGCCGGCACCCCUACGUGCCUUUGCCAUCUUAAGUUUUGAACUCCGAGAAAAUAAAACUUUGCUUAAUAAGAAGCUAUUGUGGCCCAAAUUCUAUGAGGAUUACACCUGCCUGUCCAUAUGACCCCCACCCCCCACCCCUGACACACACACACACACACACACACACACACACACACACACACACACACACACACAAUUGAUCUCUCGCCAAGCCACCAAGCAGUUUGGAAGGAAGGGGAAGAGGGUGAUUUCAGAAUUCAAAUGUGAGCCUCGGGCUCUGCAAGUCUAGGGACUGGGACUUAAUCACCCAUUAACACAGGCACACCCCUCAAGAUCUGGGACCUCCACCCCUCAGCCCUGCGGUAGGCUUCCCGUAUCUGUCACUGAAAAUCUUAGGCCAUAUUUUCUAGAAUUCCUCCAAGACAUCUGGGGAGCUGUUUCCAGCUACGCUGACGUGAGACAUUAAAAUCGUGGGUCUCUCUUACUGCUGCUCCUUUCUCUUAGAUACUUCAAGGGAGCGGAGAUACACUCGCCUUUGACUUUAAGUCACUGACCUGGGAUUCAGAAGGUAAAAAUCUGGUCCCAGUUAGGGUGCUAACUCACCAGCAACAGGCCCCCCUCAUGAGGCCGCCUGUUUUUCUCAACUGUGAAGUUUUAUGUCCUAGAGCCUCCAAGCGUCCCUCCACUACCCACUUAACCCAGGGAGACGCUACAGUGACAGAAAGUGUGUUCAAAACGGGUUAUCUUACUAAGGUUCUCUUAGGGAGGCACAUGCCGGGAGGCUUCCGAAUUUUCAUCCACCUUACCAAAAUUUUGGAGGUCAGAUGUCAUCCUCAUUGGAUGUUGCCCUCCUCUGUCAGUCCUAGCACCUGGUAGGGAUACUUGGAGACCCGAAGGUAAGAGGGUCUGUCCACCGUCCUAGGCGCGCGGGGCGGGGGGGCGGGGGGGGGAACUCUGCUAGAACCUACCACUAGGUGGCAGACUCAGUCCGUUCGAAAAUCAUCGCGCAGCCACAGCCUUCCACAACAGACUGCCCCCCACUAUUUUUUUUUUUUUUUUGGAUCUGUUAGCGGGAGGAGGUUGCCUCUAUAAGCAACGCUGCAAAACAUUUAAUUUACUGGAUGUAAUUCCGUUCUUCCCGAUGCUCACUCCUCUAGUAACCACAACGCGGUCUCUGGAGCAGCGUUCAUGUAUUAUACGUUCAUUUUUCCAGCCCGAAAGGCUGAAUGUAUUAGAAGGGAAGGAAAGAGUACGCUUGUCUUUAAAAAGCAGAAUGGAACUCGAAGGUAUUAGCAGAGCUUCUUGCCAAACACUGGUCGACUAGAAAAGAAAGUCGGGAAUAAACUCGAGAGAGGGGCCCUGGAGGCCAAGGGCAGGGUUCCACCCAGGCUUACAGCGCUCGGUAAAGGCGGAGGGUGGGGAAAGGGGGGCUGAGUUUUGUCUUUGGCGGGGCUGCCGGUCACAGACUGGGAGGCGGGGAGAACUGCGAAGAGCCAUUCCUGGCUUCCAGUGGGGCGAAGAGAAAGGGGCCGGCUUCGCCACAACACAGCACCCUCGCUCGGAUCACUGCGGCGGCAUUCCCACUUGUUGCGCAGUGCAGGAAGCCGGCACGCGCCACACUACUUCGACUCCCAGAAGGCUCCAAACCCAGCUACGGACCAGCCUACCAUUGCCCCACGCCACAAACCUCCGUCCCCAACCCAGCCCCCAGUAGACACCACCAUCACCGCCAGCAAAACUACAGGACUUCCCAUCACUGGUUUGUUUUUACACCGAGACAUUCCUCCUUAUCUCAGUGUCAGACUGGCAACAGAAUUCAGGUGCUCUGAGAAGUCAAGUCCAAGGCGGAAGGAGGCUACCUCCGUCUGGAGAACUCACCUCACCUACUUCAAGCCAACUAGGCAACCCUCCCCGCCCGGGCGCGCGCGCGCGCGCGCACACACACACACACACACACACACACACACACACACACUCGAACUUCUUUGCCUCUUAUGACACUCUCCUAGCUGGAAAGCAACGCUUUUCCACCCCAUUUGAGAAAUCAACUACAAAGUCCUUUUUUUAAAGUUAGUUUUAUCUCCCCUUUCUAAAGAAAAAAAAUCCUCAUAAGGUCAUUUCACAAUGUUUUUCAAAUAUUUGACUUUUGCAAAUAGAGUUUCACCCACCAAGGGGUGGCGCUGCCGCACUACCUCCUCUGAAUCUCUUCAAGUUUUUCACAAUAAAGUGGGUUGUGAGGGUGGCUACCGGGCAGGGGAGAGAGGGAAGGAAGGAUUUUGACAUCUAGUCCUGGCUACCAUUUACUCAACCAAUAACUGGAACUCUUCAAGGCUCAGCAAACGACAGCUUAAGAGUUUAGAGUCCCAUCCCUGUCCAGCAAACCCAGAAUAAAUUGGAGAGUCUUUUCAAGAAAGCAUGGGGUAAAACCCUUCACAAUUGAGCACAGAAGAAAAGGCCAAUUGGAGAAUUCCCUCUUCUGGCUUCCUUCUCCUUCAAGCUGCCCAGUUUACCAACAGCUUCUGGCCUUAUUGUCCCUAUCAACAGACCCUUAAAAAUCAGCCAGUGCUUGGGCCUGCAGUAUUGGAAAGUCUUCCAAAUUGGAUAUUGGAAACUUCUAUUUAUAAGUGGGGGGAGGGGGAAUAUUUCCCAUCUACAGGUUUCUAUUUCAGCCUGAGGACCCAACCGGAGUCAUUUUAGCAAGGGAAUGCCCAUCUCCUGGCACCCUCUUUCCAUUUCCUCCUCCCCCCAGAGACAGUAUUCUUUCUCCUUACCCCCCCAAAAAGGUAUAUAUUUUAAAGCAAGAAUGUGAUUUCACCUCAUUCCUUUGAGCUCAUGUUUGCUACCUCCAGGAAUAGCGUGUGGACUAGGGCCAGAUGAACUUCAACUUGGGCUGCAGAUUUACGAGGCUCUGUUCCAGUGCCAAAGGCUUUUGGUAGUAAAUAGUGAGCAAAAUAGAUACCUGUCUCCUGACAGAUCUUGCCGGCCCCCCUCUUAUUUUUUUAAGUUAUUUAUUAAAACCACACACACCUUGCAAAGAAAAAGGGAAACUGGCAGUCUCUGUAGAGGAAGCUGGUGGCACUGCUCAGAGCCACAAACUGUAUUUCUAAACAGCCCUUUCCCUGGUUCCCUCUGUCCUGCCCCAGUUUUUUGGUUUUUUGGUUUUGUUUUGUUUUUGACAGAAAAAAAAAAAGCAUCUAUUGAUACUUUACUUAAAAAAAAAGUAAAGAGUUACAAGAUUUUCCUCCUGGAAACUAUAAACUGAAUGGGGAAAAAAAAAUCCGUAAAAGAUUAAAUCAGUUUCCUGUGGCUACUGGUGGUGGGGGAGAUGACCAGCUCUCUGUGGUGGUCAGGAACCCAGUAACAGCUCUGGACUUUCAGUACCCUAUUUGGGGUCUUUCUCCCGGUUCAGCUGCUGGACCCCCACCACCGCCUCUUAAGCAUUGCAAAGGGGUGCACCCAAUAAAAGGGUUCUUUUUCAUUCUUUUUUUUUUUAAUCUAUUGGGUUGUGUUUUUGUUUUCCAUGGGGGACCUUUAAAACUCAUUAUUAUAACACUAGAUCCAUUUUUCGCCAGAGUUCCAAUAACACGGCAUCAUAAAAGCAACGCAAUCCACAGUUCUCAAGACACUGACCACGGUCACUACCUCUCGCAGCGGGAUGGCCCCUAGCUCCCGCUGCCCAAGAGCGCAGCCCAUUUCCGAGGCUCCAACUCCCCACCGGCUCCCGCCCCGGGCCGCCGCCGCCGCCGCCUUCCCCCAUUCUUACUCCCUCGAGGAGAGCCACAGGUUGCAAAUCCAACCAACCUCGCAAUCCGUUUUUGCAAAAUCACUCACAAAGAUCUCCCUUUCGCGCCCGCGCCCCCUCCUCCCGCGCCGGGUCCCUCAUCCAGGGCGACAGCGUGCCCUUCUCUCCUCCCGGGUCUUGCACGUAGGAACGCGGGCUGGGGCUGUUUGUUUUUCCCCUCGCCCAGUGCAAGGACCUCGGGAACCUGAAGCCUGACGUCGGCUACUCUCCAGUCUGCAGUUGUCUUUUUACAAAGCUCGCACCAUGGGAAAAAAUAAGACAAAAUUUAGGAGAGGCGGGGGAACAGCCAUUGGGAGCUAACACCGAGUCACGCAGCGCCCAAAACACAAACACCGCGACCGCCAGAAAUCCCGCCACCUUCCCGCUUUGCUGGGCCGUCCUGUGAAGGUUCCCGGAGUCCCCGCAUGCUAAACGGCACCGCAGGUGCAAACGCGCACCCCUUUGCCACCCCCCCCCAAAUCCCUGUCCCGCCACCAGCCUCUCGCCUCAGGAUGGGGAGAGGGAGCGCGCGGGGGUUCCCGACUCCCUCGACUGCAACCAAGGAAGAAUAAUUUUCAAAGUAUUCAACAUCCCCGCCCCCAGGCAAGCUAAACCUCCCCCAAAACACAGGGUAAGGGGACACCAAAACACUCGGAUCUCGUUAGGAAGAUCGCGGCUCUAAAAGGAAAUAGUAGAAACGAUACUUCAACUGGGCUUAUCGGGGGGGGGGGG